rnacentral:rRNA from 1 species
AGAGUUUGAUCCUGGCUCAGGACGAACGCUGGCGGCGUGCUUAACACAUGCAAGUCGAACGGUAAGGCCCCAGCUUGCUGGGGUACACGAGUGGCGAACGGGUGAGUAACACGUGGGUGACCUGCCCCGCACUUCGGGAUAAGCCUGGGAAACUGGGUCUAAUACCGGAUAGGACCGCACCGUGAGGGUGUGGUGGAAAGUUUUUCGGUGUGGGAUGGGCCCGCGGCCUAUCAGCUUGUUGGUGGGGUAAUGGCCUACCAAGGCGGCGACGGGUAGCCGACCUGAGAGGGUGAUCGGCCACACUGGGACUGAGACACGGCCCAGACUCCUACGGGAGGCAGCAGUAGGGAAUCUUCGGCAAUGGACGAAAGUCUGACCGAGCAACGCCGCGUGAGUGAAGAAGGUUUUCGGAUCGUAAAACUCUGUUGUUAGAGAAGAACAAGGAUGAGAGUAAAAUGUUCAUCCCUUGACGGUAUCUAACCAGAAAGCCACGGCUAACUACGUGCCAGCAGCCGCGGUAAUACGUAGGUGGCAAGCGUUGUCCGGAUUUAUUGGGCGUAAAGCGAGCGCAGGCGGUUUCUUAAGUCUGAUGUGAAAGCCCCCGGCUCAACCGGGGAGGGUCAUUGGAAACUGGGAGACUUGAGUGCAGAAGAGGAGAGUGGAAUUCCAUGUGUAGUGGUGAAAUGCGUAGAUAUAUGGAGGAACACCAGUGGCGAAGGCGGCUCUCUGGUCUGUAACUGACGCUGAGGCUCGAAAGCGUGGGGAGCGAACAGGAUUAGAUACCCUGGUAGUCCACGCCGUAAACGAUGAGUGCUAAGUGUUGGAGGGUUUCCGCCCUUCAGUGCUGCAGCAAACGCAUUAAGCACUCCGCCUGGGGAGUACGACCGCAAGGUUGAAACUCAAAUGAAUUGACGG